rnacentral:rRNA from 1 species
GACGAACGCUGGCGGCGUGCUUAACACAUGCAAGUCGAACGGGUCUGCCAUGUUUUUUGCGGGGUGGGUCAGUGGCGAACGGGUGAGUAACACGUGAGUAACCUGCCCCUCACUUCUGGAUAACCGCUUGAAAGGGUGGCUAAUACGGGGUGUUCUGGCUGUGCCGCAUGGUGUGGCUGGGAAAGAUUCACUUUUGUGGUGUUUUGGUGGGGGAUGGGCUCGCGGCCUAUCAGCUUGUUGGUGGGGUGAUGGCCUGCCAAGGCUUUGACGGGUAGCCGGCCUGAGAGGGUGGGCGGUCACACUGGGACUGAGAUACGGCCCAGACUCCUGCGGGAGGCAGCAGUGGGGGGUAUUGCACAAUGGGCGGAAGCCUGAUGCAGCGACGUCGCGUGAGGGAUGGAGGCCUUCGGGUUGUGAACCUCUUUCGCCGGUGAAGAAGGUCCUGCUCUUUGUGGUGGGGUUGACGGUAGCCGGGUUAUGAAGCGCCGGCUAACUACGUG